AACGAACGCUGGCGGCAUGCCUAACACAUGCAAGUCGAACGAGACCUUCGGGUCUAGUGGCGCCCGGGUUCGUGACGCGUGGGAUCCUGCCCUUAGGUUCGGCAUAACUCCCCGAAAUGGGUGCUAAUAACGGAUAAUGUCUCCGGACCAAAGAUUUAUCGCCUUUGGAUGGGCCCGCGUUGGAUUAGCUAGUUGUUAGGGUAAAAGCCUACCACGGCGACGAUCCAUAGCUGGUCGGAGAGGAUGAUCAGCCACACUGGGACUGGGACACGGCCCAGACGGCGACGGGAGGGAGCAGUGGGGAAUAAUGGACAAUGGGCGAAAGCCGGAUCCAGCAGUGCCGCGUGAGUGAUGAAGGGCUGAGGGUUGUAAAGCUCAUUUACCCGGGAUGAUAAUGACGGAACCGGGAGAAUAAGCUCCGGCUAACUCGGU
rnacentral:rRNA from 1 species